CAGCAUGAAGCCCAAGAAUCAUACCCAGCACAAAGAAGAAAAUAAAGCUGAGAUCCAAUCAAAUGUCCAAGGGCACUGGGUGCCAUGAGAAGGAGGUAACAUUAAGGAAGUAACGGAAUUUGGAGACACACCAUAGCAGGGACAGGAGAGUGGGCCCUACCGUCGCACUGAACAAGGAGAGGACAUGGCGUCACCGAGAAGAAGCUCUGUAACCUGGAUGAGAGGCGUAGCUUAGCUCCAUUUCCUCGCCCUGAGUGGACUUGUGGACCUGGUUAUGAGGCUUCCCUGAGAUAAACCAAAAACUAUCAGGUCAAAGUUGGACAGGACAAACCAACAGAAGAACAAGAGCUGAAGAGAGGCCACAAGAAUCAGAGACCCACCAUUUGCAUGCUCAGGAGUCCCAUAAAACACUAAACUGGGAGCCA